ensembl:lincRNA
GCCUGAGCUGGUUCCAGGGGUCCCCAGCCCCGAACGCCACCCCCAUCUCCAACACCGGGAUCCUGGAGCAGCCCCGGGGCUGUCUGCAGGAGGAGGAGAAUUCACCUGCGCGCCCAGCACGCCCUGGGCUCCCGGCGCGUCUCGCUGAGCCUCUCUGUGCACUACCCCCCGCAGCUGCUGGGCCCCUCCUGCUCCUGGGAGGCCGAGGGGCUGCGCUGCAGCUGCUGCUCCCGCGCCCAGCCCGCCCCCUCCCUGCGCUGGCGGCUGGGGGAGGGGCUGCGGGAGGGGACCGGCAGCCAGGGCUCCUUCUCGGACACCCCCAGCGCAGCCGGGCCCUGGGCCAACAGCUCCCUGAGCCUCCCAGGGCACCUCAGCUCCGGCCUCAGGCUCAGCUGCGAGGCCUGGAACGUGCACGGGACGCGGAGCGGCGCCGUCCUGCUGCUGCCAGGGAAGCCAGAGCCCAGGGGAGGAUUCGCACUGGGGGCCGUGGUGGGGGCCGGUGUUGCUGCCCUGCUGUCUCUCUGCUGCUGCCUGGCCUUGCUCAGGGUGAAGACCUGCAGGAAGGACGCACCCUCCGCCCUGGGUCCCCUCUCCCAGGGCGACAGAAAGGAGCCUCCUGGGGCCACCGCCACCUCGGAGGAGGAGCAGGAGCUCCAUUACGCCUCGCUCAGCUUCUGUGGGCUGAGGCCCCGGAGGUCUCAGGAGCAGGAGGCCAUCGGCUUCACCGAGUACUCAGAGAUCAAGACCUACGAGUGACAACCUGCGACCUCCAGUAGAGCCAGGGCGUCCCUGGGGAGGGAGAUGUCAGGGACAGUUCCCGAGUGACAGUUCUCCGUGUAAACAGGAGACCUGGUAGCCCGGGGAGUCUCACAGUGUCGUGAGGGCAGCACUGGGCUCGUAGGUCAGCCCCAGCCCCCAUCAGGAGCCUGAGUGUGAGCAAGUUGCUGUAGUCCUCAGUUUCCCGCUCUGUCAUGGGACACAACAGGCCUCAUUCGCAGGGCUCUGGUGGGGCAGGAAGGGGAUAAUCAACAGAAAGCUUCCGACACAGGCGUCUGUAGACAGCCCUCACCCGGCCACACCUCCUCCUGGAACGGCCCACUAGGUGUAAAAGUCUGACCAGCCAGGCCCACGUGGGGACGCUCUGCAGGGCAGUUGUGGCUUCACUCUGUCUCUGCCCACCUGCUUCCCUGCCCCGUCCCCGCUGGUCCCUGGGGCAUCAGACACCCUGCUGCUAGUAUGUCUCCCCGGGAACCCAACCUGUGUAUUCUACCACACACACACAAACCAUUCAUUGCUUAUCUGAUAUAAAUUAUAAGUAUCUAAAUGACACAGGUCUUUCUUUAAUUAUAUUUCCUUGAUGAUUUGCUUCUCCUUAAUAAUUUAAGGAGAUAAUUAUAAUAAUAAUUAUAAUCUUUUUGCAGGAUUCGCUCAUAAAAUUCCUUGCAGUGGCGGUUUGUGCUCUGUUCACAUUUGAAUGUGUUUUUUGCGGUGGUCCCAUCCAAUGUCUUUUGUCCAUUUUUCCAUGGAACGUUCAUUAGUGAGAAAAUGCAUGCACGUGAGCGCUCACGGCCGGUAGACCGCACAGGGACCGGCAGAGUGGAGGAUGCUGGUCGUGUUGGUCACGUGCUCUGCACGUCUCACUCGCUGAGACACGGAAGUGCACCUUUCAUAACAGAACUUGCUUUUCCAGCCCUCAGGAUUAGGUUGCAUCUCUUGAUCAACGAUUUUUUUUUUGUAUUUCAGCAUAUUAUGGGGAUACAAAUGUUUAGGUUAUGUAUGUUGCCUUUUCCCCCUUCCCCCCCGGAGUCAGAGCUUCAAGCGUGUCCAUCCCCCGGACGGUGUGCAUUGCACUCAUCAUGUGUGUAUAUACCCAUCCCCUCCUCCCCCUCCCAUCUGCCCGACAAAUGUUAUUCCUGUAGGUCCACUUAGGUGUUGAUCAGUUAGUACCAAUUUGCUGGUGAGUACAUGUGGCGCUUAUUUUUCCAUUCUUGGGAUACUUCACUUAGUAGAAUGGGUUCCAGCUCUAUCCAGGAAAACACAAGAGGUGCUAGAUCACCAUUGUUUCUUAGAGCUGAAUAGUACUCCAUGGUAUGCAUAUACCACAUUUUAUUAAUCCACUCAUAUAUUGAUGGGCACUUCGGUUGUUUCCACAUCUUUGCAAUUGUGAAUCGUGCUGCUAUAAACAUUCGAGUGCAGGUGUCUUUUUUUUUGAAGACAGAGUCUCACUCUGUUACCCCGGCUAGAGUGUCAUGGCGUCAGCCUAGCUCACGGCAACCUCACACUCCUGGGCUCAAGCGAUCCUCCUGCCUCAGCCUCUAGAGUAGCUGGGACUACAGGCAUGCGCCACCAUACCCGGCUAAUUUUUUCUAUAUAUUUUUACUUGACCAAAUUAAUUUCUAAUUUUUUAGUAGAGACGGGGUCUCGCUCUUGCUCAGGCUGGUUUCAAACUCCUGACCUUGAGCAAUCUGCCCGCCUCGGCCUCCCAGAGUGCUAGGAUUACAGGCGUGAGCCAUCACGCCCGGCCUGAUCAACGAUGUUUUAAAAACAGUGCCCAGCAAUGAAAAAAAAGAGCACUGUUGUCAAUUGUUGUUCCUUUUCAAAACUGCACUGCUCCUGCUGCUACAGUGUCUAGUAACGUAUGCAUAAAAGAAUCCAACUUGGCAAGGGAUAAAAUAUUUUCAAAACAUAGUCAUGGCAAAUGCUGCAAUAAUUAUGCACUUUGAGAAAUCGAGAAUUUCUUUUCCUGUUCUAAGGUCCCUUGCCUUGACACUCAGAGAUACAUUUUUCAUCAAUUCUUUAACACAUUUAACAAGUUCUUGAAAGCAAAGGCGCACUUAACACUGUUUUCUGUUCUUGAAAUUUGCACAAUCCUGUUAAAUAUUGGAAACUAUAAAAAAAAUGGAAUGGGUUUCUAUUGAUUAUUUUAAAAAAUACCUCACUGGUAGAUAAAACUAUGGAUUAUUUUAAAAGCCAAGAAUUUUGAGGGCCUUUUCUUCAUAAUUAAAGUAUGAUUUCUGUGAUUCACAUAAAUAAACUAAGGAUUCUCAGUAUCAUUUGUUAAAGAGAGUUAGUGGGGUCUGGAAUAUGAGAGGAUUAAGAAUAUUGAAGGGCAAUAAAGCCCCCAAACCCUUUAAUUGCUCAGUUCAAACAGGUAUGUGCCACAAUGCCCGACUCAUUUUUCUAUUUUUAACAGAGACAGGUUUUUGCUCUUGCUCAGGCUGGUCUCGAAUUCCUGACAUCAAGUGAUCCUCCUGCCUUGGCCUCCCAGAGUGCUAGGAUUACCGGUGUGAGCCAUGGCACCUAGCUGGCUUCUGCUUUUGUUCUCUUGGAGCUAUGAGCCUUCACAUAAGUCUAACUACCCUGCUGGAGAGAGAAAGUCCAGCCAACCUCCCCUUCAAGGCACUCCAGGGGGAGUGCCAGUCGGGGAAGAGGCCAUCUGGACUCUCCAUCCCAAUCUCCUCGCUGAAUUGCAGCCAAAUGAGUCCUAACACCUCAUAGAGCAGAUCUACCCAGUCGAACCCAGGCCACCCACAGGAUCGUGAGAAAUAAUAAAUUGUUGCUUCAAGCCACCACGUUUUAGGAUUUGUUGUGCAGCAAAUUCAAACCACCCUAGGGUAGCAAUCGCGACUGUUGCCCCGUCUCUGUGCCCAGGCUCUCCCCAGAGAAGCCCCCAUCCCUGUGCCCCUCCCUCUCUAGCACAGCCCCGUGUCUGUUCCUCAGAAAGCUGUCCGAUUUAAAUGCCAUCUCCUUUUCCUGGCUGUACACAUCAGCAGCACAGGGACCCGGGAUGUCUUGUCCACCGGGAGCCUCCACGCAGCGCUGUGGCUGCCACGGAGCAUGUGCACAAGAUGCACCUGGCGAGUGCUUGCAGGAUGAAAGGUAAGUGUACAGAAGAGAGUAAGGGGAAGGAGAAGGAAGAAUGAGCAAUGGAUGGAUGGAUGGAUGAAAGAAUGGAU